ACUGGAUUGCCAAAACAAUGCAUUACACAUUACACACUAUCAUGACAUUAAAAACAUUAGACAAACUGAAUUAACAGAAACAUAGUUUGAACACUAGAUUAAUCUUUCACUAAGUUUUAUUUUACUAAUUUGUUUAAUGGUCUGCAGUUAGUUUUUAUAAUAAACCUGUAUAAAUAAGUUCAGAAUUGUUAUCUAAUUCUGAAUAUAGCAUAAUGUGGGCAGUGAUUAUUUUAUCGUUGCUUAAAAUGAUAAUCUACUGUUUUCUAAUUUCAUUUUUAUGCUUUUGAAUUGAUUUGGUUGUAAGCAGUUUUUCUAUGCAAUUAUAUUAAGUAUUUAAAUGUAUUAUAAAAUGUUGAUAAUUUUUCAAUAUUUAAAAUAUAAUAUUAACCUUAAAACAGAGGUUCUCUACUAAUUUUUAUCACAGAACCCUUUUCACCUUAAUAAAAAAUGUUGAAACCCUAAUACCCCAUUUGCAGUGAGCAUUUCAAUCUAGAUUGUGACCAAGGUCAGUGACUAUGCCUUGGUGCGUCCUCUCUCGACUGUUUCAAUCACGACUGAAAUGAAGUUCAAUUGCGAUCGACUUGAGAGUUUUUGAAACUAGAUCCAGUCAUAAGAGAUCCCACAAUCCCACGCGUGCCAGAAAAUACAAAAUGGCUGCAGAACGUGUUGGGCUAUCAACAGAGAAAUAAAAAAGAUAUUGUAUUUGGAGAGACAAUGACAUCUGUCUAUUAUUAGCUAUAUGGCAAGAAAAAGUACUGUAUUUAUUUCUAACCAAAACUUCCAUUUUGUUUGUUCGUGUUCAUGACUUACCGCAUAGUUAUGUCAGUUUUAUCAUCAUGUGUAAUAGCCGGGUUCUUCUCAAGCGGACUGCCUGUGCGAACAAUAUGACAUUUGACUGGUAACAGUUGCAAUCCAGAUUGUAGGUAAAUUGAGAUUGAAGUGAGUCGAGGAUCGUGCGCAAACGUAGUAUAACAAUAACAAAUGUCGGAACCCUGCAGAUAAGUUAUCAAUACUAGGCUACUUUACAUCAAAACCAAAACUGAAAGUAAAACUACAAUUAAAUAUAAUCAAAAUUAAUUAUUUUGAUUUGAUUCAGAUGAAACCGUGUUGUUGUUAUUAAGCUGUUUCUUUGCAGACACACUAAGGUGACAUAUAUCAACACUUGGCAACUUAUUGACUAUUUAUUCAGUUGCGAAUAUUUAUUCAGUUGCAAAUAUUAACCACAGGUAAAAACAAAUAUUGUUAAGAUAUGUUGUAAUUGUCAAUCUAUUUAAUUGAAUUUUGUGUAAAUUAUAAGAAUAGCCAUAUUUAAAAGCCCAGUAGUCAAGUUGUUAUCUACGACCCUGUUUGUUCUCCAAUUGAUGUGCGAAUUGUGAUGUUUAUAUAAACUGUAAGUAUUACAAAUAUUAAUUAGUGGUUUGUACAAUCUAAUGUCAUAGCUUUAAAUAGGUUCUAUGUGAAUUGAAAGUCCAAAUAAUAUAACUAAGAUGACUCAGUGAAACUUGUUCGGAAAAAGAGUGUCAACAGUUAUUGUAUGAGUUUAGGUGCAAUAUACGAAUACUGGCUACAGUAUAAGAAUACCAUAUUCGAAAACCAGUAGCAAAAAAUGAUUAUCGUCGACCUUGUUUGUUCUCCAAGUUGUAUAUGAAAUAUGAAAUUGUCCAUCCUGUACGACAUAUGUACAAUAGUGGUUUGUGUUUUAUGUUGGCUGAAGAGGGGCCAAUGCCCGAAACGCGUAAUGUAAAAGGCGUCCCAACUGAAUAAAUAGUCAAUAAGUUGCCAAGUGUUGAUAUAUGUCACC